rnacentral:ribozyme from 14 species
GAGAGAGAAAGAGAAGAAUAAUGAAAGAAAGGAGGAGGAAGAAGGGGCUUUGGACGUUUGGGCGUUGAGGUGCGUGUUUUUCUUGUCUUGUCUUUUUGUUUUUACUUCUUCU